UGAACAUUUAAACAGCAGGGUUACCAGAAAGAAAUUUGCUGAGUCCCAGCCCAGUGGCUCUGAGGACUGAAACAGCAGGGCUACCAGACAGAAUUCUGCUGAGUCCCAGUCCAGUUUCAGAAAGAAAAUUAUGGAAUGCCAUCGAUUGCAUCAAACUACCAACUUGUUUGAUCGAUCCAAGUUCGUUUGUAUGUGGGUUGGAGGAAUGUCAGCUCGCGCAAUUGCUCAAGAAACUGGGGCCAGCGUUACCACAAUAUGUCGAUGGAUCAGGAGGUGGAGGAAAGAGGGUCACAUAAACACCAAACCCCGUAGAGGAAGACCACGAAAAAAUAAAAUGUAUAUAAUGAAAUACUUGGGUGACCAUAUUAUACCAACUUCUCAAGCAGUUUCCAAUGUUUUCUCAAAAAAAACAACAUAUCUUUCUCCAUGUAUCUGUUUAUCUCCCUUAGCUGACCUUUUAUAUCAACAAAAUAUAAAUAGCGACAUUCUUCAUUUCCCAUACAUUAACAACUAUAUAAAAAGUGUUGAAGCCUACGAGGCCAUGUUCUGUCCAGAAGCUGACCAAUAAAUCAAUGACAGUUUCCUAAAAUAAAUAUUUGAAAUUAGGUAACGUAUAUGUAUGCAACAUAGAAAAGCUUUAUUUUUUUUUUUUAUGUUUUUCAUAUCAAAUAUCACUGAAUCCUUUUCAAAUAGUAACAUCAACUGAUUAUGAUUAUCAUCCAAUUUAUGUGUUGUAUUUUGCCACAGAGCCAGACGCUAACCAUGGUUAAUUUACCUAUGCAUAUGGUGAAAUGUGCUUACUUAAGAAAAAUAAAUGGUAACGAAAGUUUUGUUGUUUUGAGUCUACUUACACGAAAGUUUUGUUGUUUUGAGUC